AUACGGAGGAUCCGAGCGUUAUCCGGAUUUAUUGGGUUUAAAGGGUGCGCAGGCGGCCAUUUAAGUCAGCGGUUAAAUCGUGGGGCUCAACCCCAUUCUGCCGUUGAUACUGGGUGGCUUGAUUGCGGUCGAGGUUGGCGGAAUUCGUUGUGUAGCGGUGAAAUGCAUAGAUAUGACGAAGAACACCGAUUGCGUAGGCAGCUGACCAGACCGCAAAUGACGCUCAUGCGCGAAAGUGCGGGGAUCGAACAGGAUUAGAUACCCUGGUAGUCCGCACAGUAAACGAUGAAUACUUGUUUUCGGCGAUAUAAUGUCGGAGGCAAAGCGAAAGCGAUAAGUAUUCCACCUGGGGAGUACGCCGGCAACGGUGAAACUCAAAGGAAUUGACGGGG
rnacentral:rRNA from 1 species